UGUGCUGUAGUAAACAUUUUUUAUUCGCACUAAUCAAUCAACACAAUCCUGUCUUUGUAUGUCGCAAUUUAAUUGUAUUAUUUAAUUAAAUCAAUUUAAAAUGUAAAAUCAUCUUUGUCUGAAAAUAAAAUAUGAUCCUCAACUGCGUUUCCCCUCCAGACAGCAGACGGCGAUGUGCGUCUUUCAGGCGAUGCUGCCAGAGUGACGUAUAAUCUAGUGGACGGUUCUUCAGAAACUGCUCGUCAAUCACCUCGGUAGCUUGCUAGCCAACAUAGCCGAACGAUUAAAGCUGUUACGCUUUCGGUGUAUAUUAGCUAUUGUGUUUCAGACACACUUCUGUCGUAUCUACUUGUUAACCUAUUUAAUUUAAUAUUACGUUAUUUUGUAUUAGUCAGCUAUAGUAGUUGGCUGGUUAAGUUAGCACUAGCCUAGUCGCUAAUGAUAGCUAGCUAGCUAGCUAAUAUCCCCGACCAUGAGCUCCAUUAACUACUCCCCUCUUGUUAAAGAAGAGGUCUGCUGGACGGAGAAAGAAGCUCAUGUGAAAGAGGAGGAGGAAGAAGAGGAUGUCACAGUAAAAAAAGAGGGUGAGGCUGUUACAAUGAAAGAAGAAGAGAAAGAUGUUUCAGUGAAAGAAGAGGAAGAUGCGUUCAGAGUGAAAGAGGAGGAUGUUACAGUAAAAGAAGAGGAGGCAGAGAAAGAGGAGGAUGCAGUUUUUGAAGUGAAGGAGGAGAAAGAGACAAUAUUGACAGAGGAGUCGGGAGAUCUGAUUACCACCCGACAGAGAUGUGACCAUCGUGGAUCCUCUGGGGAGUCUCAACAACAUCAUGAUGCUGAAGAGGCAGAGAAGAGUCUCUCCAGAUCAGAACACCUCAAAAAACACCAGCAGAGACACACAGGAAAGAAACCACACUGCUGCUCUGACUGUGGGAAACGAUUCAAAUCUUCAUCAGAACUUAAAAAUCACCAGCGAGUACACACAGGGGAGAAGCCUUAUAGCUGUAAUCAAUGUGGGAAGAGUUUUACUCAUUCAAGUAAUCUGAAAACACACCAGAGAACACACACAAGAGAUAAGCCUUACAGCUGUGAACAGUGUGGCAAGAGUUUUACUCAGGCAAGCAACCUGGUAUCACACCAGAGAACACACACAGGAGAGCAGCCAUACAGCUGUGAUCAGUGUGGCAAGAGUUUUACUCAGUCAAGCAACCUGGUAUCACAUCAGAGAAUACACACAGGAGAGCAGCCAUAUAGCUGUGAGCAAUGUGGGAAAAACUUUUCUCGGGGAGAACGCCUUAAAGAGCACCAGAGAACACACACAGGGGAGAAGCCUUAUAUCUGUGACCAGUGUGGCAAGAGUUUUACUCAGUCACGUAACCUGCUAUCACACCAGAGAACACACACAGGAGAGCAGCCAUAUAGCUGUGAGCAAUGUGGCAAGAGUUUUACUCAGUCAAGCAACCUGGUAUCACACCAGAGAACACACACAGGAGAGCAGCCAUAUAGCUGUGAGCAAUGUGGGAAAAGCUUUUCUCGGAUAGAACACCUUAAAGGACACCAGAGAACACACACAGGGGAGAAACCUUAUAGCUGUAAUCAGUGUGGGAAGAGUUUUACUCAGUCAAACAGCCUGAAUAGACACCAGAGAACACACACAUGAUAGAAAUCGUAUAGCUGUAAUCAGUGUGGGAAGAGUUUUAUCACCAGAGAGCACACACAGGAGACACUGAUCUGCUCUGACUUUGAAGAGCUUUGCGUCCCUAAGAAACCUGACACAACACUAGAGAACACACACAGGAGAGAAGCCUUAUAGCUGUGAUCAGUGUGACAAGAGAUACUCUCAUUCAAGUGGUCUGAUUCAACAUCAGAAAAUACAUGCAGGAGAUCCACAGGGUGUAGAAUGACCAACACCAGACCUAUAUACAUCAAAUCACAUUUUAUUUGUCACAUACACUUGCUUAGCAGAUGUUAUUGUGGGUGUAGCAAAAUGCUUGUGUUUCUAGCUCCAACAGUCUAGUAAUAUCUAACAAGUAAUAUUUAACAAUACACACAAUAUAAAGGAAUGGAAUUAAGAAUAUAUAAAUCUUUGGCCGAGCGAUGCCAGAGCAGCAUAGACUAAGAUACAGUAGAAUAGAAUAGAAUACAGUACAUACAGUGGGGCAAAAAAGUAUUUAGUCAGCCAUCAAUUGUGCAAGUUCUCCCACUUAAAAAGAUGUGUAUUUGCAAAUUAUGGUGGAAAAGAAGUAUUUGGUCAAUUACAAAAGUUUCUCAAUACUUUUUAAUUCAAUAUUUACGUUGUAAGUCAACUAGCUGGCUAAUGCUAACUAGCCAUUAUCCCCGAACAUGAGUUCACCAAGCUACUCUCCUCCUGAUAAAGAAGAGGUGGUCUGCUGGACGGAGAAAUAAGCUCUUGUGAAAGAGGAGGCGGAAGAGGAGGCUGUUACAAUACACAAACAAGUAGAGGGUGAGGGUGUUACUGUGAAAGAAGAAGAGAAAGACGCGUUCAGAGUGAAAGAGGAGGAGGAUGUUACUGUGAAAGAAGAGGAGGAAGAUGCAGUUUUUGGAGUGGAGGAUGAAGUGAAAGAAGAUGAAGACAUUUUUGGAAUGAAGGAUGAAGAGGUGGAGAUUACGGUCACAUCAGAGGAGGACGAAGAAGAGAAGACUGGAGAUCUGAUUAACACCAGUAAAUACAGAGAGAGAUGUGAAUAUCGUGGAUCCUCUGGGGAGCCUCAACAACUUCAUGAUGCUGACGAGGCAGAGAAGAGUCUCUCCAGAUCAGGACACCUCAAGAAACACCAGCAGAGACCCACAGGAUAGAAACCACACUGCUGCUCUGACUGUGGGAAACGUUGCAAAACUUCAUCAGAACUUAAAAAUCACCAGCGAGUACACACAGGAGAGAAAUCUUAUAGUUGUGAUCAAUGUGGGAAGAUUUUUACUUAGUCAGGCAGGCUCCCUGAAAUCACACCAGAGAACACACACAGGAGUGAAAUCUCAUAGCUGUGAUCAAUGUGGGAAGAGUUUUACUACAUCUAGCCAUCUGACGAGACACCAGCGAGUACACACAGGAGAGAAAUCUUAUAGCUGUAGUCAGUGUGGGAAGAGUUUUACUCAGCUAAACAUCCUGAAAGAACACCAGAGAACACACACAGGAGAGAAAUCUCAUGGCUGUGAUCAAUGUGGGAAGAGAUACUCUGGUAAAAGAUCUCUGAUCAAACAUCAGAAAAAACAUACAUGAAGGAGUUGAAUUUGAAAAAUCAUAUCAAUUAAAUAAUGUCACAAUGUAGAAUGUUUUAACAUUAUAGUAGGAGUAUUUUAAUGAUGUCGCAAUGUAGAACCCUAAAUGUUUGUCCUCUGUUCUAUUGGUUUCAACAUGAUAUGGAUAUUAGCCUCAGGGGGAAAAUCCAGGCUCUGAAUUGAAAGAGUACUAUUUAUGUUAUUUAACAAAAAGUGACAAACAAAAAAAAUAGUUGUUACACUUACCACGUUGGUGAACCACUUGAAUCAAAAUGCAAUGAUGUACACAUUAUUCCCAGAUUCCGUGUGGUUUUUGAGCUGUUAGUUUUAACAGGACGUGCAACCUCAUUUCCCUUCUGUCACACAAAUGAUUUUAGCAUGAUAUCGAUGAGUUAUGACAAAUAAGUGUUGUGUUCCUUUGUUCAACGUCCCCUACAUUUAAAUGUAUCACGCCCAAAUGCAGCUGACUGUCUUCUGCAGGUUGUCCUCUAACCAGUGAGGUGAAAGAUAUCUCCCAUUUCCAUGUGUUUUGUUUAGUUGUGUUAGUUUCAACAGCACGUACAACCUGAUUUCCCCCCCCUAAUCAGUAUCAGUGAUUUAUUGCUACUUGUCAAAACAACAGUGUUUUUGGUGCUUGUGCAGUUUAUAAGGUGCUUGUUUAAAAAAAUACAAGUAAUAUGAUUAUUGUGGCAGAUGUUUGUGUAUACAGUAUGGCCCAUUUUAAGUUU